rnacentral:rRNA from 1 species
UACGUAGGGUGCAAGCGUUGUCCGGAAUUAUUGGGCGUAAAGAUCUCGUAGGCGGUUUGUUGCGUCGGCUGUGAAAUCCCGAGGCUCAACCUCGGGUCUGCAGUCGAUACGAGCAAACUAGAGUGUUGCAGGGGAGACUGGAAUUCCUGGUGUAGCGGUGAAAUGCGCAGAUAUCAGGAGGAACACCGGUGGCGAAGGCGGGUCUCUGGGCAACAACUGACGCUGAGGAGCGAAAGCGUGGGGAGCAAACAGG